AUAGGUUCAAGUUCAAGCACAUUUUGGUUUCGGUCCUCUAUGUGCUUAUCUAUCCAUUUAUUAUAUGGAUCGUUUCCGUGCUACAUAUGAAUUAUCGAUAUGUUAAUGAAUCAAGUGAAGUUCUACACAAAAGAUAGUGUUUUUAUUUUGCAUCGGUUUUGAUCUAAUGUUAUGUUUCUACUUGGAGAAGGGAAGGCUUGUUGGACAACGCAAUUGUUGGCUCUGUAGUUAAUGUUUACUCUCUCUGUCCCAAAAGGAAAACGAUGGUGGAUUAUGAGGACUUUGUGAAGCAAUCCAUAGAAACAGCCCGUGCAAGUUGAAGAAAGUAAAGGACAAAUCCAAGAAGAAGGAAAUGAAUAAUCAAAUUGAUCAUUUAAUUCAAACUGAUGAAUUCGAUGGAAAUGUGAGUGAGAGUGAUCUCAAAGAUCUGUGUCGAUUAUUGAUACAAACAUAUAGGAAGUCGAUCAAAGUGUUGAAGGGAUUCAAGACUAAGAGGAGACUGACAAUUGAGUUGAAUAUCUAAGGGUUGUUCAAAGAAUAUAAAAUUUCUUGAUCAUUAUUUAUGAAAAUCAUUUUUUUUGGGUACAAAUGAAAAUCAUUUAUUUAGUUCUUGAGAAACAUAACAUAAAACUCAAUAUUACCGGUUAGUUGGUCCAAUGUUGAUCGACGCUGGACUUGGUAGAAGAACCACAGUUCGAUUCCCCGCAACUGCGAUUGGGAGGGGUUAAAAUCACUUGAUGUCCAGAUCUACUUGAUCUUAUUAUAAUUUAAAAGAAUAAGAGACUCCAUCC
rnacentral:lncRNA from 1 species